UGCAAGAUUUACAUUUGACACUGUUUACUUCAGUAAACCUUGACCUUAAUCUGUGACAAACUCUGUUUGUGUUUGUUCUUCAGGUGUGUUUGCUGAUUCAGAUGAAGUGAAGUCAGUGUCUGUGAUGGAGGGAGAUUCAGUCUCUCUACAGACUAACACUGAACUACAGACAAAUGAUGAGAGACAGACUGGAGCUGGAUCAUCAGACUGGAUCUCUGAUCAUCACAAACACCAGAAACACAGACUCUGGACUUUAUCAAGUGACCAUCAGAGGAGAAGAUUGACCACAUACAGAUUCAAUCUUACUGUCUCUGGUGAGUCACAAUUACAUUUGGGUCAUUUGUGCUGACAGUUUUCAUAAAAAUAUUUUCAUGAACCAAAUCAAAAAGCAAUAAAAAUAUAUAUUUAAAA